rnacentral:rRNA from 1 species
AUUGAACGCUGGCGGAAUGCUUUACACAUGCAAGUCGAACGGCAGCACGGAGAGCUUGCUCUCUGGUGGCGAGUGGCGAACGGGUGAGUAAUAUAUCGGAACGUGUCCAAUAAUGGGGGAUAACGAGUCGAAAGAUUCGCUAAUACCGCAUACGCCCUACGGGGGAAAGCAGGGGAUCGUAAGACCUUGCGUUAAUGGAGCGGCCGAUAUCUGAUUAGCUUGUUGGUGAGGUAAAGGCUCACCAAGGCGACGAUCAGUAGCUGGUUUGAGAGAACGACCAGCCACACUGGAACUGAGACACGGUCCAGACUCCUACGGGAGGCAGCAGUGGGGAAUUUUGGACAAUGGGGGCAACCCUGAUCCAGCCAUUCCGCGUGAGUGAAGAAGGCCUUCGGGUUGUAAAGCUCUUUCGCAAGGGAAGAAAACUUAUGAUCGAAUAAAUCAUGAGGUUGACGGUACCUUGAUAAGAAGCACCGGCUAACUACGUGCCAGCAGCCGCGGUAAUACGUAGGGUGCGAGCGUUAAUCGGAAUUACUGGGCGUAAAGCGUGCGCAGGCGGUUUUGUAAGUCGGAUGUGAAAUCCCCGGGCUCAACCUGGGAACUGCGUUCGAAACUGCAAAGGCUAGAGUGUGUCAGAGGGGGGUAGGAAUUCCACGUGUAGCUAGUGAAAUGCGUAGAGAAUGUGGAGGGAAUACCAAUGGCGGAAAGGCAGCCCCC